rnacentral:rRNA from 1 species
GGGCCCGCACAAGCGGUGGAGUAUGUGGUUUAAUUCGAUGCAACGCGAAGAACCUUACCAGGGUUUGACAUCCUGCGAAUUUCUGGGAAACCGGAAAGUGCCUUCGGGAGCGCAGUGACAGGUGGUGCAUGGCUGUCGUCAGCUCGUGUCGUGAGAUGUUGGGUUAAGUCCCGCAACGAGCGCAACCCACGUCUUUAGUUGCCAGCAUUUAGUUGGGCACUCUAGAGAGACCGCCGGUGAUAAACCGGAGGAAGGUGUGGAUGACGUCAAGUCAUCAUGCCCCUUACAUCCUGGGCUACACACGUGCUACAAUGGGGCGUACAAAGGGUUGCAAUCCCGCGAGGGGAG